GUAACGUAAGAUCAAGCGGCUAUCUCUCUAAAGUUUCUUGUAAGAGAAGAACAAAGAUUUAUUGUUUAGUGUGUGACGGGAGAUCAAAAUCUCAACAUUCUCGGAUUUUGUAUCAGACAGACAUGGCAUAUAGACCUAGCGCAGUGACUAAUGAAUGUUUUCGAUCCCAACAAUCGAUGGAAGAGAGAAUGGCCGUUCUUGUUAUCCGAGUAGGGGAGGUCAAUGGGUUGGUUCUUAAGAGCCCCCUCUACUGGGAAUCUAUAGAAUUCCUUGCGAAAGACGAGGUUUCACGAGGCAUAUUCUAUGCGCUUCCAGAUCGAUGUAAGCUGCAUUAUCUAAAACGAAAGAUAAAAGCCUCCAAUAUGGAAGAGAGGGAACUUUCUUAUGAACCCCUUUAUGAUUAUUGAUGGAAUUAUGUUUUUCAGUGUCAGGGUUUCAUCUUGUUUUGCUUGACUUUGAUGUUGUGGGAUAUGUUUCAUGUUCAGUGUUUAUUUCUGUGUGCUUGAAUUUUAUAUUUGCUGAAUAACCUGCCUUUUAGUUUUACGUAAUAUGAAAUGUUAUUGUAAUGUAACAUGAAAUGUUAUUGUUUAUGUGUU